UACGGAAGGCAGCAGUGGGGAAUAUUGCACAAUGGGCGCAAGCCUGAUGCAGCCAUGCCGCGUGUAUGAAGAAGGCCCUUCGGGUUGUAAAGUACUUUCAGUCGUGAAGGAAGGUGUUAAGGUUAAUAACCUUAGCAAUUGACGUUAGCGACAGAAGAAGCACCGGCUAACUCCGUGCCAGCAGCCGCGGUAAUACGGAGGGUGCGAGCGUUAAUCGGAAUUACUGGGCGUAAAGGGCACGCAGGCGGUUAAUUAAGUUGGAUGUGAAAUCCCCGGGCUUAACCUGGGAAUGGCAUUCAAGACUGGUUAGCUAGAGUCUUGUAGAGGGGGUAGAAUUCCAUGUGUAGCGGUGAAAUGCGUAGAGAUGUGGAGGAAUACCGGUGGCGAAGGCGGCCCCUGGACAAAGACUGACGCUCAUGUGCGAAAGCGUGGGGAGCAAAC
rnacentral:rRNA from 1 species